UUUUUUUUAAUUGUUGACAAAUACAUAUACAAUACGCGUGUUAUGGUGAUCAUACAGUUCAUUCCAUCAGAAAGUGUUGCACGUUCGCUUUACACCAAGUCGACCAUUAUUCUAACCGAAUGGUCCUUGGCCAUGUUCGAGCCAGUCCUGGACUGGAAUCCGCCAUUCCCUAAUUUAGAACGCGCAAACGUCGAACGUCACAGCAGCAGCCUAUCUCCUGGAAAAAAGUCUGUGAUCCUGAGAAGGCACUGCUUGCUUUUCUGAUUCAGAGUUUACUGCAGGAGAGCGCAGGCGGGGAUAAAGCACAACAUGCUCGAAUUGAAAGUGUGGUUUCCACGAAGCGGAAGACCGAUGAAUCCAGUGUUCGACACCUGGGAGGAUUCGCACAAAAUACGCUCCUGGAUCUGGGCGUAUCACUGCAGUAGCUGGACGAGCCGCUAACAAAACGGAAACUCUGCGCCCUGUAGCAUCCGCAGCCGAUCAAGCGAGUAAGAGCGCUACUACGAUUUAUUUUGUGCAAGCACAUUCUGUCGUAGUCGUGGUAAUUAAUGUGAUUUAUUGAUUUAUGUAUGGAUUUAUUGGUCAACAUUUUGUUGCUGUUGCUUAUGUGUCCAAGUGUUGAGUGACCUUGUUUUAAAUCCCGUGUUAAUAAGGUCGCAAAUUUCAAGCAAAACUCACGAUGCAUUUGUGCGGAUUGUAAACCAAUGUUGAUGUCACUCUUGUAGACAAUAAAAAUAUGUGUAGUUCAGUAAAUAAUAACUACUUAAUAAAAAAUAUAGAAAGGUAUACGUGAAGACACUGUCGACAGGAUAAAAACUUGUAGAAAAAUAUCUUAAUUUGAUUCAUACUGUAAAUAAUAGUUUACGACAGUACGGGUUUGAUGAAUUUUAUUGUUUAUAUAAUUAUUGCAAUCGCUUACCUAGAUCGAUGCGGCGAUUGAUGCAUUUAUCAUGAUUUAUGUACCAAAUGCCGCAAUGUGGCAGCGGCAUAGCCUCGUAGAUCGUAAUAAUUAUUAUUUAAUAUUUCGAACAUUUUGGAUGAUGAUCAAACUCUGUUUAAAUGAUACCUCUCAUAACAAAACUACUAACAAAUACAGUAGAUAACUUUUUGUCUGUUUAUCAUAAACAGCCACAAAUUAGUUUUACACUGCUUGUGGUUAAUAUAGUGCAACUGCGUAUUAUCUGUACUUCUACAUAGUGUGUUUACGAGUGAUACCCGCUAAAUGCUGUUUACUGUUUAGUGCUUCAGUUCGAACUCGAAGUUGUAGUUUUCGCUAACGUAAAGACGGUAAAGUGUUCGAUUAGCAACCAGUUUCCACAAACCCUGCAGUUUUUAACGCAUUAUUUAAUCACAUUUAAUAAAAUUUUUGAUGCCAUGGAGUUUGUGCUCGUGUUUCUCUGUUUGAAAGUUUUUUUCGUCGCUGAAUUCAAGGGUACAGAACCCGAUACAUGAUAUCUAGAGACUGGAGCAGAUGUCAAUGUGCUGUAACCGUGAAACGGGGAAGUGAAAGUGCCUGCAUAAAUCAUAAUCUCGAUCGUUUUCUGGUGGCGCAGUGCGCGCCCAACACGGAUGGCAAUGGCGAGGGACGAAAGAAACAAGCAGAAGGUGGUGAUUAAUCGAGUGGCAUAUUGGACAGUGGACGAUAUUCGGGGCGUCCGCUUGGAUCAUCUGGGACGUUUGGAAUAUCUGGUGGCGUGGGUUGGCUUCCCCGUGCCAACUUGGGAACCGGAAUCCAAUUGCAGACUGGCCUCCAAAAAGAUUGAACAGUUCUAUGCCCGUAUGCCCAACGAGGACCGCCAGUUUUUUAUUCAGUUUCGAACGAGUGGCACGCCAAACGGCACUGCUAACGGGAAAGUCACGACGACCACUCGUCGAAAACCGAAACGACGGAAACGAAGAGCUAAAUGAUAUGUUGGAAUUUUUCCAACCGUACGUCGGAUGAAUUUCCCAUUCAUAUUCCAGUUUGACGAAAUUGCUGGGCUGGAUGGCGAGCGGCAGCUGAAGCUCGCUUCCGGUGGUUUAUUGUUGUGGAAUCGUUUUGUGCAUCUCCCGAAAACAUAACUGGAAAAUUUGCUGUAAAUCGUCCGUAAUAUAUUUUUUUGGAUUUAUUCGUGCCAUGAUUGAUCACCAUUGGUUGAACAUAAUGGUGCGCGAUGCAUUUCUGAAAGUGUAUUAAUAAGAUUGUUGUUUGUAUCAGUGAUAUUCUGACUGCGUUUUGUUAACUUUUCGCCGCUGUUCUUUUCAGUAUUUUGUGGUCUGUCUGCUAUGCCCGGUUUCAUGUGAUAUGUUCGAUAAGGGUUGGCUCAUGGUUGUUUUUAUUUGGUGUAAUUUUGACUUUCGUGGCUCUGUGCACUUUAUGUGGUGCUCUGUGAAUUCGAUUAUUGUUUCUGUAUUAAAUUUUGGUGCACGUUAAUGUUGAUGCAUCUGAACUCCUUACCGGCAAAUUCAAUGAACUGAUA